CUCGUUAACAUUACUGAAUUCAGAGCACCUCAUUCCUCUCCAGUUCAGUGGUAUCAGGAUUAUGAGCAUGAGGCCCACAGCCACGCACACCAGAACAGCAGUCUUAACUUCUUCAACUGGUUUUCUGACCACAACUUUACCGACUCUUACACGAUUGCUGAGCUCAUCACUGAAGACCUGUGUCUCACUCCCUUGUGCUACUAUACAAG